GAAAAAUCUGAUGCAAAAGCAAGUCAAAAGAAAAAAAGAUUACUUACAAAUGCGUAUCAAAGAUAGUGAACAAGAUCUGAUGCUCCAUGGUGACAAGGCUCACAUGAUUAUGCAGGAGAUUGUAAUUAAUGGAAGUGUAGUUGAAUCGAACAUUAGUAGAAUACUGGCACCACU